UCCAACUUAUCGCUGGCGGUCUCCUGCGAGUGCCCCUUGCGGGUUGCAACACAGGACGAGGGUUGCGCUCGUUGCGGGACUUAACCCAACAUCUCACGACACGAGCUGACGACAGCCAUGCAGCACCUAUAUCGGACUCCCUUGCGGGAUAGCGAUGUUUCCACCGCCGUUAACCGACAUUUCGAGCCCAGGUAAGGUUCUUCGCGUUGCGUCGAAUUGAACCACAUGCUCCACCGCUUGUGCGGGCCCCCGUCAAUUCCUUUGAGUUUCAGCCUUGCGACUGUACUCCCCAGGCGGCACGUUUAACGCGUUAGCUCCGGCACGGAUGAACUGAAUCACCCACACCAAACGUGCAUCGUUUAGGGCGUGGACUAC
rnacentral:misc_RNA from 1 species